UGGGUGUGCGGUGCCGGAUGACACCUCCCAAGGACCGUCGGCAGGAGGCGCCUGGUCACCGAGGCUGGGGGCUCCGGCGGCGUGGGCCUUCCCGCCACCGGUUGCAGCCGUCCGCGUGUGCUCUGGCCGACAGAGAGGAAUGGGAUUGCUGGUUGUGAUCUCUCCUCUUCAAUCUGGGAAGAUCUUUGUAACUGCCUGGACCAAGAGAACGUGGCAGAAGUGAUGCUGAACGGCUUCCGGAGCUGAGUCAUGAAAGGUGGUGCAGCUUCCACCCACUGUCUUUCUUGAGCUGCAUCCCUUGGGAGCCGUGAGCUGACAGAACGCCCCUGGAGAAGCGUGCCAUACUGGGGCUUCACAUGGGCCUCCCAUGGCCGCCUGGGCACUCAGCCGUGGCCGUGGACAGAUCGGCGGUGGAGAAGUCCACGUGGUUGAGCCACAUGCUCCCCCCACCCCGCUGCAAGGACCAUUUCAGGCGGCCCCACAGAGCAAGCACCAGGGAGGUGGGAAGAAGCUGGCAAACAGAGAAGGGUUUUCCACUUCCGCAGUGAGAAAGAACCUUUGCGGAGGAUGCUCUCCAAUGGGCACUCAUGUGGCGUGGAUGUCCUCACACGCUGAACCUGCUCCGAGAGGUCCUCACCAGGUUCCUCUGCUCCUCCGGGGCUGCGGGCUGACCCACUGGCCACGCCCUGGAUCAGUGCGCACACUCAGAUCAGGCCCUGCGCAUCCCUCCCACCGGCCGAAGCUCCAGGAAGCUUGGACCAGGGAGCCGGGUUGAAGCUGUGCACAGGUCAGUUUUCCAGAAUGUAGCGAAGACACCGAAGGAGAAAGGAUCCGAGGGGCAAAGAGACUGUCCCGCCCACCGCACGUGAGCCUGCGUCCAGCUCUGCAUUCUGUCCCAUCUAAUGCGAGUCUAUUCUUGCUCCAAAGCCACGCAUAUCAGCUCUAGGACUCGGCAUGCCUUGCUAGUUGCAGGGCAUGUCCCUUCACUUUCCCUAGAAUCAGCAUGUCAAGUUCCAUUAAGACAAAAACCAAAAAACCCUUAUUGACACUUUGUCAGGCCAGUAAGUUCUUCAGUUCCUAGUCAGCUUGUCUGUUAAGUGAACUGACUAGAUUAAGUUUUACCCUGUGAGCCUUUUAAAUGUCCCCAGUUUCAGAGGCAUUUUUAUUUUCUGCCUCUGCAGCUGCGUUUUAUUGACACCACACAUUUUCUUGAUAAAUAAAAGAAUUGUAUUCACUUCAAAAUCCACGUAGAACUUGGGAGCAGAAAACAAUGCACACAAGCAACUUUUUCUUUUCCUCAGAAUUUUCUCAGUUUCUAUCAGGGAUCUGAUUAUUUUUAAUGUAUAGCUCUGGCUGGCAGGGGUUGGUAAAGUUUCUAUCGUCAAUAUGAUUGCUGUUGAUAAUUCUGGUUAUUUAAAAAGAUGAUUUUUCCCGUCCUCAAGUAGCCCCUCCGUAUCAUGAGAUAUGAAGUGAGGAUUUUUCUCUGCAGUAUUAAAAAUGCCCCAAACAUCCUGUCAGGCCUUUCCUGUUUAACUGAAGCACUCCUCAUUUUAAAAUUACACAGUAACUUCUACAAUAAUGUUGCUUUUUCAUAAUCCUUCAAAUAUCUAAGAAAUUAGGAAUUGGACUAAAUAAAACAUUUGUAAAUUGUAUGAGAUGCACAAAGAUGUGCAAGAGUUGUGCACACCAAUCCUUUAAUUGGAAAGAAAAGGCCACAAUACACCUAGGUUUCUGAGCCCUUGUGUAUCACAGAAUCUGAACUCCUACAGUUAUGCUGUUUGGCAUUUAUUUGGUUGUUCAAAGAAGACUAAUUGCUAAAACAUUGUGAAUACAAGUUAUGAUGUUCAUUUCCUGGCAAUAAAGUGGUCUGUGAAAACAUGAAGUAACAGAACAGAAACAUUAAGAACAACAGAUCUGGACUUCCCUGGUGGCACAGUGGUUAAGAAUCCGCCUGCCAGUGCAGGGGACUUGGGUUCGAGCCCUGAUCCGGGAAGAUCCCACAUGCUGUGGAGCAGCUAAGCCCGUGCGCCACGACUGAGCCUGUGCUCUACAGCUUGUGAGCCACAACUACUGAGCCCACGUGCCUAGAGCCCAUGCACCACACAGGGGAGUCCACUGCAAUGAGAAGCCUGUGCACCGCAAGGAAGAGUAGCCCCCGCUCACCACAACUAGAGAAAGCCCGCGCACAGCA